UUCUUUUAUGAAUACCUUCCUUUAUUAUCUCGUUUUUCUCUCUAAACUCAAUUUGCUCUGUACAACCUUCACUUCCCAUCUCUUCAAUCCUCUCUAAACCCCUCGUCUUCCCCCAAUUCUAUUUAUUACCCUCCUUUCUCUCUCUUUCUCUUCACCGCCUCCUCUUUUUUCUUCUCUAUUCUUCUCUCUCUCCCCCUUCUCUCAUUAUUAACAGAACACGCUCAAUGGCAUCCAAAAUCACCGACUCAAAGAACACCUCGGAUCUCUUUGGAUGUUAACACGCUGUCUUGCUCCAAAAAGAGACCUCUUUCUCCAUCAAAACGGGUGUAAAGAAAUAGUUGUCCACUCCUUCCGGAUCUCUGAUUGGUGUCGACAUGCAAAACUUUUGGGGAGUUGAACAGAAGAUCAAAGUUUGAAGUUUUUCAGAGCACACCCAUCGUCCCCGGACGAGUCAUCAAGCUAUGUCAACUGAAGGAUUCUCACUGCUCUGUAGGUGCUCUAGUCAGGGGGAGAUUACAUGCUACUUCAACGAUCUAUAGACAUGCAAAUUGACAAGGGGAGCUUCAGGGAAGUUUUAGUCCUUCUAUCGAAUGUUAUUUAUGGGCAACUUUUUGUCAUUAUCAAAAAGGGGGAGAGUGUUAGCCUCCUACACACUACAAGUAUUUUGAUGAUUAAAAAUAAGUUAAAAUGUUGUUUGCAGAACUCAUGAGCAGAGCAACAUCAUUACAAUUAGAGUCUACAACAAUUCCUUCAUCCAAGCCAAUCAAAGAUCUCACGAAAUUAUCUAAAUCCCCAAGAUUCAAGGAAGACAGCAAUGUCAUAUCUCAAACUCCUACGAAUCAACAAAUCACUACAAAUCAAGGAAAUCAACAAAUUAAUCUAUCAAGACAAGUAUCAAGAACUCAAUAGGCUCCAAAAUCUUAUUGGAGACGCCUCAUCUAGAAAGGAAGGAUAUCAUGAACAUAUAUGAUAUGGACAUGAUUACAUUCCUAUCCUAAUCUGACUCAAUCAAGGAAUCCCUACAAAUCCUUGAUUGAAUGAUAAUCUCUUGGAUUAUUCUUUUAAAAGAUCAGAACUCUACACCUAUUUAAACAAGAGAGAAGUAAGUCACUCAGAAAAUAAUGCAACUUCACUUGACCUCAACAAACAACUUUCUUUUGUCUUUAAUAUAUCCUUGUAAAGUCGUGAGUGUUAUAAUUGAAAAGAAGAGAAGAAGAAAGAAUAUGAGUGUAGGAAUAUAAGCAGAGGCAGUGUCAAAGUAGAAAUCUGAUUUGCACAUCAGACAAGAUCAGUUUCAAAUCGUUGUAACCAAACGAUCUUCUCAACACUCUUAAGGAAAACCCUUUAAACCCAAGGGGACUUGACUAGGCACCACAACGGUGAUCCAAAGCAGGAUAAAUUUCAUUGUGUCCUUUAUUUA